AUGGCGUCGCUGGCUUCUCUGUCCAUCUACACCGUGCCGGGGCGCGCCGGCCGUGCGGAAUCCGUUCACACCCCUCGCCGGCGGCGUAUGGCGGUGGUGCGGGCGAAGGUGCGCGAGAUCUUCAUGCCUGCGCUGAGCUCGACGAUGACGGAGGGCAAGAUCGUCUCCUGGACGACCGCCGAGGGAGACCGCGUCUCCAAGGGCGACACCGUGGUGGUCGUCGAGUCCGACAAGGCAGGCAUGGAUGUGGAGACCUUCCACGACGGCAUCAUCGCCGCCGUCCUCGUCCCGGCCGGUGGGACUGCCCUCGUCGGCGCCCCCAUCGCCCUCCUCGCCGAGUCAGAGGAGGAUGUCGCCCUCGCUCAGGCCCAAACCCCUCCUCCCCAUGCUGCCGCCACGGCUCCACCUACCGUGGCCCCUGCUCCGGCACCAGUGGCCGCGCCGACGAAUGGCAUCGCUACGCCUCAUGCCAAGAAGCUCGCGAAGCAGCACAGAGUGGACAUCUCCAAUGUUGUCGGCACAGGGCUAAACGGCCGCAUCACGGCGGCUGACGUUGAGGCAGCUGCUGGUAUCCAGUCAAAGCCAAAGGCCGCUCCACCUCCACCUCCUGCAGCUCGCUCUGCGCCUCCGGCUGGCACACCAUUAGUAACUGCAGUCAGACAACCAGGAGUGCUUCCUCCAGUGCCUGGUGCGACUGUGGUGCCAUUCACAUCGAUGCAAUCGGCGGUGAGCAGGAACAUGGUGGAGAGCUUGUCAGUGCCAACGUUCCGAGUUGGGUAUGCCAUCAAGACUGAUAAGCUUGAUGCACUUUAUGAGAAGGUUAAGUUGAAAGGGGUUACAAAAACAUUGUUGCUGGUGAAAGCGGCAGGCAUGGCACUUGCUCAGCACCCAGUUGUGAAUGCCAGCUGCAGGGAUGGAAAGAGCUUCAGUUACAACAGUAGUAUCAACAUUGCGGUGGCGGUUGCCAUCGAGGGCGGCCUUCUUACACCUGUAUUAGAGGAUGUUGAUAAGUUGGAUAUAUAUAUCUAUCUGCUCGCGCAAAAAUGGAGAGCCCUGCUCAAGAAGACGCGUAUGAAGCAGCUCCAACCAAAUGAAUACAACUCAGGGACGUUUUCGCUGUCCAAUCUUGGUAUGUUUGGGGUAGACCGAUUUGAUGCAAUCCUUCCACCUGGUCAGGGGGCUAUCAUGGCUGUUGGAGCAUCGAGACCUACUGUUAUUGCUGACAAGGAUGGUUUUUUCAGUAUCAAGAACGAAAUGCUGGUCAAUGUUACUGCUGAUCACAGGAUUAUAUAUGGCGCUGACUUGGCAGUAUUUGUGCAAACAUUUGCAAAGAUUGUCGAGGACCCUGAGAGCUUAACACUGUAG
rnacentral:rRNA from 1 species